GCUUGACAGCGCGUUAACUUUACAGAUAUGGUUUAAAAUCUUACGGGCAUUCGAAGACCGUUGGGUCCGAAUCGAUCGAAAAAAUGAGGCAAAUCGUCGUAAAAAGGAGACGAGAAACGUAGCCAGGAAACGGCGAACCACGAGGACGCCGACACGUCGAUGAUCACUGUAAUAAUCGUAGUAACAACCGUCGACGUUAUAAAACGCAGGAUUCGCGUACAGGAAUGUUUCCAACAUCGAUGAUGGGAAUUUUGUUUUUAUCAUUGAAAUACUGAAAAUUGGAAAUAUUAUGUAUUAUGCAAAUAUUCCAGCAAUCUGCAAUUCGUUUGAUGUUUCAGAAGUGAUAAUUUAUAAUUGAUCCAAGUUAGGUUAUUUUAAUUGAAACGUCAUUAUAAUUUGAAAUCAAAUAAUUUGGCAAAUCUGAACUUGGUUAAUUACUUACAAGAUUCAUUUAUACAGCGGCACUCCGUAGAAAAUACAACUUUUUACUUUCAAAGUAACACGAAGUUUCAUAUUAAAAUUAAGAUUCAUCCUAUACGUAUAUUAUGAUUCA